rnacentral:antisense_RNA from 1 species
AUAAUUAUAUUGGGGCAGGCCAUCAUUCACACAGUCAACUAUUAAAUUAAAUUUUUUAAUUUCUGCAAUAAAAAAAGCACCGCUGAGCAGUGCUUUAAGAGUAUGGUAGGCGCGAUUGGACUCGAACCAACGACCCCCACCA